CUUCAGGCGGAGCAAGCAGCAGUAGACUGGAAUUAAUAUAAGAUUUUAAUAUAAUUUAGUAGAUCCAGCGGGGCUACAUAGGGUUUCAACACUAUAGGGUCAGGAAUACAUGUUUGUUUUCCUGACCCGUUAGUGUUCCUUUAAGACUAAACAGGCAAAGUAUGUGGCUUUACUGCUGCAUGGAGAGACUAGUCCUUUGUUUUUUUUAGAGCUUUUACUACAAUGAACAUGGUUUGUACAGG